GAGUUUGAUCCUGGCUCAGGACGAACGCUGGCGGCGCGCCUAACACAUGCAAGUCGAACGGGACUAUGCGAGAUGAAGUUUUCGGAUGGAAUUUUGUGUAGUUUAGUGGCGGACGGGUGAGUAACACGUGAGCAACCUGCCUUCGAGAGGGGAAUAACGGCUGGAAACGGUCGCUAAUACCGCAUAACAUACGGGAGGGACAUCCCUUUUGUAUCAAAGAUUUAUCGCUCGAAGAUGGGCUCGCGUCCGAUUAGGUAGUUGGUGAGGUAACGGCCCACCAAGCCGACGAUCGGUAGCCGGACUGAGAGGUUGAACGGCCACAUUGGGACUGAGACACGGCCCAGACUCCUACGGGAGGCAGCAGUGGGGGAUAUUGCACAAUGGGGGAAACCCUGAUGCAGCGACGCCGCGUGUAGGAAGACGGUCCUCUGGAUUGUAAACUACUGUCCCCAGGGACGAAGAUGACGGUACCUGGGGAGGAAGCUCCGGCUAACUACGUGCCAGCAGCCGCGGUA
rnacentral:rRNA from 1 species